rnacentral:misc_RNA from 1 species
UCUCCGUAGGUGAACCUGCGGAGGGAUCAUUACUGAGUGAGGGCUCACGCCCGACCUCCAACCCUUUGUGAACCAAACUUGUUGCUUCGGGGGCGACCCUGCCGACGACUCCGUCGCCGGGCGCCCGGUGGACCACCCAACCCUGCAUCGUUGCGUCCGAGUCGAAAUAUAAAUCAAUCAAAACUUUCAACAACGGAUCUCUUGGCUCUGGCAUCGAUGAAGAACGCAGC